rnacentral:rRNA from 1 species
UACGUAGGGUGCGAGCGUUGUCCGGAAUUAUUGGGCGUAAAGGGCUCGUAGGCGGUUUGUCGCGUCGGGAGUGAAAAUCCAGGGCUUAACUCUGGACUGGCUUCCGAUACGGGCAGACUAGAGGUAUGCAGGGGAGAACGGAAUUCCUGGUGUAGCGGUGAAAUGCGCAGAAAUCAGGAGGAACACCGGUGGCGAAGGCGGUUCUCUGGGCAUUACCUGACGCUGAGGAGCGAAAGUGUGGGGAGCGAACAGG